CCCGCCCCGUGUCUCUUCUUUGCGGGGCACCCCGGCCAGUCUGAACCGGUUGUGACUGAGUCUUUCUGAGAAGGGACACCAUAUCUUCUACCAGCUUCUCAAAGGGGGCUGGGACCACCCAUCACUGAAAUGAAAAUUUCCUUUAGACACUGAACCUCCUCUAAUUCUGACCUAGACAAAGACCCUACACCUUGCAAAGGGUUGGUUUCUGAAGUCCAAAUGAAGCUGCAUAAGCUUCCUGAGCCACGGUUUUUCAUCUUGCCCGCAUCCAGAAGUCUAUGUGAGAUGCAAGUUCCAAAAACACCUGUGGACCCUGGCCACACUGGCAAGUGUUCUUACAGAUACUGAAGCCCUCACCAGGUGGGAGAAGUUAACAGUCUGCUGCCCACAAGCACGUAGACCCCAGACCGGUUGGAACCAGAAGUUUGAUGAUGCUGACUCCCAAUUACCUCACCACCAACCAAUGAGAAGAACGUCCAGGAGCUGACCACGCCCUCCUCUUUGAACCAUUACUAUAAAACUCCUCACUAGCCCCUCCAGGUCAGGACACACAAUUUUGAGGGCAUUAGCCUGCUGUGGCCCCCUUUGCCUGGCAAAGCAAUAAAGCUAUUCUUUUUACUUCA